CAAAUCCUAAAAACCCUAACCCUAAUGUUUCCCUUUCCUCAGCCUUGGAACACAGCCUCCACCCCCUUUCUUCCUAAAUCUAACGCUGAAACGGAAUCAAAUAAGGAGAGAAAGAGGAAAUCAGAGUGUGAUCCAAGCAGCCACCGUUCAGUCGCCAGAGCCGCCGCUAGGGUUCUUCGCCGUCAUCAUCGUUGUCAUCCACGUGAGCUGCAGCGCUGUGUAGUCCAGCCGUCAUGACCUCCGUGGAGCCCGCGUCGUUGUCGCCUCGGCUGUUCCCACCGCCGCUGGAUUCGUCGCGCGCGUCGCUGUCUAAGGAGCCACCGCCGUCCUUGUUCGUCGUCUCCCUUAGAGUCGUUGCUGUUCAUGCUCCGUUGUUGCUGCCCUUCCAUGGAGACGCGUCGCCAUCGCUGAGUGAUGGAGGAAGAGGAUGCACGAGAGGAGCUGCUGCUGCUGGGUUGCUGUUCUGCCACCGUCACUGUCACGUGAUGGAGGAGGAAAUUGCUGUACCACCAUCCGAGCUUGCAGUUGCAGUUGCCCAUAUUGCAGCCGCAGCUUCUUUGUUCUGUUAUUACUUUCUAAUUGUUAUGCCCUCGGCGCUGCCAUUAGAAGUUCGUUAGGGUUAGUUAGAGCUGCCGUUCUGAUACUGCCGCAGCUUGUCCGGGUUCCUGCUCGUCCCUAUUCUCUGUUCAGCCUUCGCCAGAGCGCUGUCAUCGAAGAAACACUACUGAAACCGGGCCAGAUUCACCGAAUUGCGUGAGACCAAGUCUGGAUUAAGCUUGGGAACAUAGGAAGCUGGACUGGUGAAUUUGAGACUUUUUCAUUAGGUUUAUGAUUUAUGGUGAAUUUUCGAAUUAUGGAUGUCAAAUCUGGCUUUCUGCAGAACACUUAACACAGCAGCAACUUGUUUCCUCUAUUAGAAAUUCUCCAGUUUGAAUUUUGAGAUGAAACCAAUUUUAAAUGAAACUUUAGUCUUACCACUUUAAUUUCAUAAAAAUUCAGAAUUUUUGGAGUUGUGGUCUUAAAGAUAUGGAUUUUUAAAGUAAGAUGUAUUAUGCAGUAAAAAUCAGGUUUUGUUUUCUAUGUCAGUAACUUUGAGACUUUAUAAUUUUUAAUUAUGAAGUGAUAUUGAGAUGCAAUCAAUUGAAGGUGAAAGUUGAGUAUGUUUAGCAUAUAUUAUUUAAAUUUCAGGGUUUUCCAUGUUUUAAUGAGUGAGUUAUGGGACUUGGAAGAGGAUAUGUUUAUUGACUUUUAAACAGAAUUCUGCAGGAAACUACUCAACUUCCGAGUUACAUAACUCCUUCAUUAAAAAUGAUAAUGACCUGGAAUUAAUUGUAAACGAAUCCUGGAUGAGUGAGGUUGAACCAUAUAAAUUUUUAAAGUCAUUGGAUUUAACUUGGAUUUUAUAUUGAAUUUUGAAUAUCAUAUGCUGCUGUUGUUUUUCUGGUUUUACGUACUACAGAGCAGUCACGGUUUUUCUUUUAUUCCUAAUGCUAGAGAAAUCAAAAAAUUAUGAUUUUUAGUUUGUUAGAAAGCUUAUUUCAAGAUGAACGUCUGGACAUAAAGUUUGCACAAUUCUGAGUUUAUUUGCUACAUUAAAAACAGAAAAGAAGAUAGAGUGUCGAGGAUGUCUUAGUGACAGUUAUAAGUUUAUUAAACUAAAGAUGAACCUUAGUGUUAUAUGGCUGAUUUAAUGUUAAAAUUUGCUUGAUUCUGAAUUGAUGUGAUGCUGGAAAGGUUGAAAAGAGUUUGGUAAAUUAUUUGGUUUGGACCCGUAAGGGUGGUUAAGUCCUAUUUUCAGAAGAGAUCAUGUCCGAAUUUUUAUAAUUUUUAUAAAAGUAUAAGGACUUAAUCAAAAUCAAUAUUUAAGGCUUAUUUAAUGAUAAAAACUUCAAUGAUUCUUUUAAGAAGAAAUUAUUUGGUAUACGAGAUUGUUGGCAAAGGCGUGGGUCUUGUCCCGCUUUCGUAUUUGCAAUUAUGAAAGAAAAAGGAAAGAUGUAAAGUUUGUAUAGUAUGAUUGAACAGAGAAAGAAAGUGGCACUGCAUAAGAAUGUGAAAGUGAUGAUGAAUAAUGAGAAUGAUAAUGAAUGAUGGUAAUGAGAAUGAUUAUGUGAUGAUCUGCUGCAUUGAGGCAGUCAGAUAGAUAGUGGUGCGACCACUGAGAACGCUUUCCUGCGGUACAGAUCCAUAUUUUAAUUCUGUAAGGCAGAGGGGUUAUUUCUUGCUACAAAAGUAUCGUGACCACCUGUUCUAUUUCUGUAGUGGCAGAGGGGUUAUUUUCUGUAUACAGAAGGUGUGUCGGCAUACAUCCCUGCAGUGGCAGAUGUGUUAUUUCCUGCGUGCAGUGGACCCUGUGGUGGCAGAGGGAUUAUUUUUUGUACACAGGGGUAUAGCCAACAGGAAAGUCAUAUCCGGCUAGUAAUGCUGGGUUACGUAGGGAGCGGGUAGAAACCGACAAAUGAGCUCAUUACCUGCACUAGGGCUAGACAUGCAUCAUCCUUGUUUGUGCAUUUGCAUUUGAUUGUGUUGCUUAUCUUUUUCCCUUAUGAUUGUACUUUUUGUCUUGGUGACUUGCUUGUGUGUUAGAUUGAAUAUUUUUGUUGAAGUUGUGAACUUAGUAAAGUAUUGAGAAGUGAUAUUCGUGAAUUUUGGUUCGGCUAUAUUACUUAUGUUGCUGGUUUAUUUAGUUAUUGCAAUGAUUGAGCGAUGCUGUUUGUGGCUGAUAAAUUGUUAAUGUGACCAAUUUUAUAUUUUAGAAUUUGUUGAGUUUAGAGAUUUUGAAAGAGGUAAUUAACUAGUUAAAGUAAAACCAAGAGUAGUAUUUUCAAAAAAGGUUUGAUAAAAAUAUAGUUUCCUUGAGUAUGUUAAUUAUUUGCACGUUAAUCAUUACAUUUACGGCAUUUCCAUUCCCUACUGAGAACGUGUGGUUUGUUCUCACCCCAUAAAU